GACACGUCCCCCGGGCGCCACUGCAGAGCCUGUCCGUCAGUCCCUAGGUAUCCGCACUGCUCAGGGGAGGAUUCCCUGGGAGCACCCACCAGCUGAGAUCUGCACAUCAGCCACAAUCCUCUCAGGACGGCGGAAAGGGAAGGGCUCAGCCGCCAGCCUGGCCACAGCCUGCAUCAUCUCAUCCCAGAGGCGGAGCACAGGCUCGGGGUCCUUCAGGGCCUGAAGGAGGUAGAGCCCGGUACUCACCCAGCAAUCAUUGUUGCCUGACAAAAGUCACAGAGAAGGCUCAGUUCUUCCUUCCUAUGAUAGAAGACUUCUAACUCUCAGGAAGUAGUUUGUUUCUCAAAGAGAAAACAUGGGGUGUUCAGUUGGCUGUGUGGCUGCUCCCAUCUGUAGAGGUGAAGUGGAUGUACGUAGUCUUCUAUGCUGACAGAAUAAUUCAAAAGAAUGCUUUGAAGAGUUUCGCUCUUGUUGCCCAGGCUGGAGUGCAAUGGUGCGAUCCUGGCUCACUGCAGCCUCUGCCUCCUGGGUUGAAGCGAUUCUCCUGUCUCAGCCUCCUGAGUAGCUGGGA
rnacentral:lncRNA from 10 species